AUACGGAGGAUGCGAGCGUUAUCUGGAUUUAUUGGGUUUAAAGGGAGCGUAGGUGGAUUGUUAAGUCAGUUGUGAAAGUUUGCGGCUCAACCGUAAAAUUGCAGUUGAAACUGGCAGUCUUGAGUACAGUAGAGGUGGGCGGAAUUCGUGGUGUAGCGGUGAAAUGCUUAGAUAUCACGAAGAACUCCGAUUGCGAAGGCAGCUCACUAGACUGUUACUGACACUGAUGCUCGAAAGUGUGGGUAUCAAACAGGAUUAGAUACCCUGGUAGUCCACACAGUAAACGAUGAAUACUCGCUGUUUGCGAUAUACAGUAAGCGGCCAAGCGAAAGCAUUAAGUAUUCCACCUGGGGAGUACGCCGGCAACGGUGAAACUCAAAUGAAUUGACGGGG
rnacentral:rRNA from 1 species